rnacentral:misc_RNA from 1 species
AACGCACCUUGCACUCUUUGGUAUUCCGAAGAGUAUGUCUGUUUGAGUGUCAUGAAACUCUCAACCCCCUCAUUUUGUAAUGAAAUGUAGCGUGGGCUUGGUUUAUGGCUGUCUGUCGGCGUAAACGCCGGCUCAGCUGAAAUAUACGAGCAACCCAGUUUAAAUACCUGACGGCUUGACUCGGCGUAAUAACUAUUUCGCUGAGGACGUCUAACCUUUAAAUCGUUAGUGGUGCUUCUAAUGCAUUAAUCAUUUUAAGCUUUAGACCUCAAAUCAGUCAGGACUACCCGCUGAACUUAA